GCUAUUGCUGUGAUUGACCUUCCUUUUUCUGGCCUGAAAGACAUUCAGGGAAAGAGGAAGAGAUGGCAGUUUCUUGGGGCUCAGUGACCUAUGAAGAUGUAGCUGUGAUGUUCACUCAAGAGGAGUGGGCACUAUUGAAUCCUUCAGAGAAGAAACUCAACGGAGAUGUGAUGUGUGAAAACUUGAGGAACUUUCUUUCAAUAGGUAACUCUAAUCGUCUUAAUUUUUCAACUAGAAGACAAAUCGCUUUUUCUUCACCAAUGUGUAAAUGGAGACAGUGUUAAGUGAGCAGGGUUUGAUUGUGACUCAUAAUGCAUCACAAAUUCAGUCUUGUGGUCCAGGAGGUGGCGCAGU